rnacentral:lncRNA from 1 species
GAUGUUCCACUCGGUUAAUUAUUGUACCAGUACCGUAUACCAUGUCGCACGCUAGGACUAGAGAAAAUUCCUUAUAUGCCAUAGAAAUUAUACCCAUCCUUUCGAUACUAUAAAAAACUAGCUAUGUGCCACCGCCCACUGCCAUUAAUUUUUCUUGGAGCUCACCGGUCGCCGUUACGGCACACAUGUAGCUCUGGUUCCAAUUGAACCGCAUAGCGUUGAGCUCGGUAUAUGUAAAGAAAAGAAAAAUCGUUGGCCGCUACCUCCAGUUCUCCUUCUCUUCUUCUUUCCCCUUGCAGGUACUGGAGUACCACUGCAACUGCUCGAAUCAACAGCUGCCGCUAGCCCAGUAGCCAAAUCUUUCAACAAAAAUGAGUUGCGCGCCCCUUCUUGAGCCUAGAUCUAGCGUCGCAACUUCCGAUUGUAGCAUAAAGGAGCUUGAUUUUGGUGACGAGGGUCUCGUUUGUGGCGGCAUCUACUCCUCUACUACUUGCGCACCUCCAUGGCCGCCGUCUCAUGUAGCCAUCUGCUGGUGUGCUACUUCCCUCUGCUGCUGCACUCCCUUCCUCCUCUACUGCUCGCUGCUGCAUGCCCCACCUCCGUGCUCCUGCCCGCUGCAGAGGGUGGCGUUGGGGGCGGUUGGACAGAUAGGGCGUGUCGAAUCGGGCCGCUAGGUGCAGCAGACCAGGUGGGCGCCGGCGCGCCGUCUAGCGGUUGAAGGGAGGGUCACAUGAUGAUUUUUCUUUUUCCUUUUUCUCCCCAAGUUUUGAUCUUUAUUAUAUGCACAUAGAUGAUUACACACUUUAUCCAUCUGUAUUCUUAUUAAAUUUUUUUCAUGCACGUUUAGAUAGUGUUUGGUUCAGCAAAAUGUAACGUAACCUAUCUACACUGUUAAUUGAUUACGUUAUAUCUUAUUUGUUUCACCGCCGCCUGUAAACGAGUCCCACGUAAUCAGAUACCGGCCGAAAUCUGAUACCCCUCCUUCUCCCCCGUAACGAGAUCUCAGUUCUCUUUUCUAGGAAAAGUGAACUUUGUGCAUGAUGUAUUAAUCGAUACCGUUACAUCCGCUGUAGAACCAAACAAAACAGGGAAACAGUGAUCUCACUGCCAAUGGCAGUGUAAU